rnacentral:rRNA from 1 species
UACGUAGGGACCGAGCGUUGUCCGGAAUCAUUGGGCGUAAAGAGCGUGUAGGCGGCUUGCUAAGUCUUGCGUGAAAUCUCGGGGCUCAACCCCGAGCGGUCGUGGGAAACUGGCAGGCUAGAGUGCGGGAGAGGAGAAUGGAAUUCCUGGUGUAGCGGUGAAAUGCGCAGAUAUCAGGAAGAACACCAGUGGCGAAGGCGGCCGACUGGUCCGGUUCUGACGCUGAGGCGCGAAAGCGUGGGGAGCAAACAGG